rnacentral:rRNA from 1 species
AAAUUGAAGAGUUUGAUCAUGGCUCAGAUUGAACGCUGGCGGCAGGCCUAACACAUGCAAGUCGAACGGUAACAGGAAGAAGCUUGCUUCUUUGCUGACGAGUGGCGGACGGGUGAGUAAUGUCUGGGAAACUGCCUGAUGGAGGGGGAUAACUACUGGAAACGGUAGCUAAUACCGCAUAACGUCGCAAGACCAAAGAGGGGGACCUUCGGGCCUCUUGCCAUCGGAUGUGCCCAGAUGGGAUUAGCUUGUUGGUGGGGUAACGGCUCACCAAGGCGACGAUCCCUAGCUGGUCUGAGAGGAUGACCAGCCACACUGGAACUGAGACACGGUCCAGACUCCUACGGGAGGCAGCAGUGGGGAAUAUUGCACAAUGGGCGUAAGCCUGAUGCAGCCAUGCCGCGUGUAUGAAGAAGGCCUUCGGGUUGUAAAGUACUUUCAGCGGGGAGGAAGGGAGUAAAGUUAAUACCUUUGCUCAUUGACGUUACCCGCAGAAGAAGCACCGGCUAACUCCGUGCCAGCAGCCGCGGUAAUACGGAGGGUGCAAGCGUUAAUCGGAAUUACUGGGCGUAAAGCGCACGCAGGCGGUUUGUUAAGUCAGAUGUGAAAUCCCCGGGCUCAACCUGGGAACUGCAUCUGAUACUGGCAAGCUUGAGUCUCGUAGAGGGGGGUAGAAUUCCAGGUGUAGCGGUGAAAUGCGUAGAGAUCUGGAGGAAUACCGGUGGCGAAGGCGGCCCCCUGGACGAAGACUGACGCUCAGGUGCGAAAGCGUGGGGAGCAAACAGGAUUAGAUACCCUGGUAGUCCACGCCGUAAACGAUGUCGACUUGGAGGUUGUGCCCUUGAGGCGUGGCUUCCGGAGCUAACGCGUUAAGUCGACCGCCUGGGGAGUACGGCCGCAAGGUUAAAACUCAAAUGAAUUGACGGGGGCCCGCACAAGCGGUGGAGCAUGUGGUUUAAUUCGAUGCAACGCGAAGAACCUUACCUGGUCUUGACAUCCACAGAACUUUCCAGAGAUGGAUUGGUGCCUUCGGGAACUGUGAGACAGGUGCUGCAUGGCUGUCGUCAGCUCGUGUUGUGAAAUGUUGGGUUAAGUCCCGCAACGAGCGCAACCCUUAUCCUUUGUUGCCAGCGGUCCGGCCGGGAACUCAAAGGAGACUGCCAGUGAUAAACUGGAGGAAGGUGGGGAUGACGUCAAGUCAUCAUGGCCCUUACGACCAGGGCUACACACGUGCUACAAUGGCGCAUACAAAGAGAAGCGACCUCGCGAGAGCAAGCGGACCUCAUAAAGUGCGUCGUAGUCCGGAUUGGAGUCUGCAACUCGACUCCAUGAAGUCGGAAUCGCUAGUAAUCGUGGAUCAGAAUGCCACGGUGAAUACGUUCCCGGGCCUUGUACACACCGCCCGUCACACCAUGGGAGUGGGUUGCAAAAGAAGUAGGUAGCUUAACCUUCGGGAGGGCGCUUACCACUUUGUGAUUCAUGACUGGGGUGAAGUCGUAACAAGGUAACCGUAGGGGAACCUGCGGUUGGAUCACCUCCUUACCUUAAAGAAGC